GGCUCUGUAGCUCAGUUGGUAGAGCAGAGGCUUGAAGAGCCUUGUGUCCUCGGUUCAAGUCCGAGCGGAGCCACCA
rnacentral:tRNA from 1 species